CUGGAAGCACGGUACACUUGUUUAGCAUCGGCAUCACAUUCUCUGCUCUAUGGCAGCCAAUAAGUGCUCUCCAAAGUGUUGGAAAAGUGUUUGAACCUUACAAGGAUUCAAGGGUGGAUGUACUUGCACCAAAGUUGCUAUUCAUUGCACUUAACCUGGCCGGGAUGGGCUUGGGUGUGUGGAAGCUGAAUACAUUGGGUCUUCUUCCGACGCAUGCAUCAGAUUGGGUUUCAUCUCUCCCCCCUGCUCAGGAAGUUGAAUAUUCUGGUGGGGGUUUUCCGAUCUUCUGAUUCCUGGAUGCUCUUUCUGCUUUAUCGUUUCUCGGACUCUUAAGGCAAGCCGCAGUUCCAUAGCUACGAGUAUAUUUGGAUUUUCCUGCUGCUGUAUUAACAAAAUUCGCCCUUAUGUUAUAUUUUUUCCUUUAUCAAUG
rnacentral:misc_RNA from 1 species